GACCGUGGGCGCCUACGGAGGCUCGAAAUGCUCAAACUUGCCACAGCGAAGCCAAAGGGAGCCAUAGAAGCUCCGCCUGCAAAGGUCGCAGGCGCAACGCGGAAGCGCUUGAAUCGGUUCAGGUUCCCUCGAAGGCUUGCACACCUUUGCCGCCCUGGUGAAUGCUGAGAGUGAGCUAGGCGGAGAUGUGCAUGGCAGCAACUCUGGGGAAGGCUGCUGGGGCAGACUCACCCUGUGGGCAUGCGACAGCAGGAGUGAAAACACAGCAGGAUGUGCGGGUGCCACGGGAAUGGGACAGGUGAUUACCCCACACAGAGACCCCAGCAGGUGGCAGCCUGAGCCCUGGGCCACCAGGUCCACCUAUAGGGCAGCAGUGUGUGCCAGGCUUGUCCUUGGGGUUGGCUGGGAGGCUGUCAAGGCAGCAGAGGCCAACAGGAGACCAGGGGACUGAUAGAACCAAGCCACGGGGCAUCCCUGGUCAGGAUUGAUCACAGAUGUGCAAAACCGAAAUUGAAAAAUUGAAUUGAAAUUGAAAAAUCUGUAGAAGACAUCUUUUGCAGUUUCUCUUCAUGUGUGUGAUUUGAAACUAAUAAAUGGUAGUAAACUCAAUAAAUGUUAAUAAGUGCUAAUGAUCAAUGACAUAAGAUAAAGUUUAUUCCCACAUGAAGUUGCCAAAGCCCACAGGAUGUCCUGUUCUGGAAGCAGCAGUGGACAUUUUCCCCCAGUUCCUUGGAAACAGAGACAUAAGUCUGCAGGACGGAGAGGAAAGGCCAACAGGAGCUCAGGCUGUGAACUGCCAGUGCCAGUGAAGCCUUGAUGUGGUGGUUAGUAGGGCCCCGGUGACCAUGGCUGAUGACCUGACUCUCACCCUGUCUCUCCCUGUCUGCCCACUGGGUGGAACUGGUGACCCACAGUUAUGGCAGAAGGAGGUGCUGGGCCCAGAAUGGCCUGGUGAAAAAGGAAGGAUCCAGCACUGCUCAUAAAUGAAAGGAGACCUUCCAGAUUUGCAGACAGGGAAAAAAAAUCAACCCCACAACAAAAUCAGACAUGAAAGGAGACAGCUUUAGCCUGGCAAAUAAGAAAAUAAACAAGUGUUUCAAAUGGAUGAUUUUUCCUUUGAAAUUGUUUUUGCAAAGAGUUUUUCUUCCCUAAAAAACAAAAUACUAAAAUAGCAAACUGUGCUUUCAUUUAUAAAUCCUUCUCAAGAAGAAAUCUAAUAAUAAUAAGGAGUUCCCACUGGGCUCCAGCUUAUUUCAUAAUGUAAAUAUAUUUCUGUCCUCUGGGGAGCAAAGCCUAUGCUGAGCCAGGUACUUCGCAUUUAUAUUUGUGAUUUUACUCACUUGCAUUUGUUCCCCUUGUUUUACCUUGAACAACCUCUGAAAUUGAAGAGAGGUUUUAGACUCUGCAGUCCCAUAUUCAUGGGGCUAGGGUACCACAGUUGGUAGUGUAAUUUAUUUAAAAAGGUAACUAGGGGCCUGGGAUUUAGCUUAGCAGCACAAAUGCCUCCUUGGCAAGCACAAGGUCAUGAGUUUGAUCCUUGGUACCAAAAUAAAUAAAUAAAUAAACAAACAAACAAAAACGUAAUGAGAUGAUUUGCUCUGUCAUGUGCUAGAUCCCAUCAGGAAAGUGGUUUGUGUUAUCUCAUGAGACAAAAUGUCCACAUUUUAAGCAAGCAGAGCUCUAUGCCAGAAAGAGAGGGAACACUGUCACUCACACUCCAGUGCUCAGCUAUGUUUCAUAUAAUACAUAUAUGAUCUGGUUUUUGUGAGCUUGUUUCCUCUAUAAUAAUGUUGUGGCAGAUCAGAAGUGUCAACUGUGGAGGUUAGGCUCUGGGUGUCCCUCAGAGGUUCCUGUGUUGAAGUCUUAGCCCCUAUCUAUGAGGGGAGGGGUGGAGCUUUUAGGAGGUGGGGCCUCAUGGGAAGAAGUGAGAUCACUGGGGUGUGGCCUUGAAGGAUAUCUUAGGACCCCACCCCUUCCUCAGUCUUUCUCCCCUGCUCUGAGAGGGAGUGUUUUCUGUGACUGACCUAAGGCACCUGGGAGAAGUGACCUGGGCCGUCUUCAGGGCACCACCUUAAGGCAUAGGCCAUCCCUACUUCCCAUCAGGAGACACAAAGCUGGGCUCAGGAGCCCCAGACAGCCCAGCCACCCUGGGGCUACCAUGGCAAAGAGGCUGCGGCCACCUUUCCCCUGGCCUCUACCUCUAGGCCAUCCUGCCAAGAAGUCCCCUGACCUGCUUCUCCAAUUCCUGCUCCCUGCUUUUCUGAGCUGCAAUGCAGCAGCACCCUUGGCCCCUGGGGCAGCACUUAGCACCCUGCAUGCCCAGCAGGUGGUGCUGUGGUCCCAGCAUGAAUGCUCCCUCCCAUACAGGCUUCAGCAGCUCUGUCACUUUGCUUGGUUUCCCGUGGGGCCCUGGGUUAGUAACACAGCACAGAGCCCACCCUGUGCUUGGGGAGGACCUGGUGUCCCUCGCAGCCGGCCAGUGUGAGGUCCUACCAGCAUGGGGACUGAAAAUCCUCUGGAGCCACAGGCAGCCAGGUGCAGGAUGGACUCUAAGCCCACCCUGCUGGCUCGGCCAUCAAGCACAUGCACUGUCCCAGAGCGAUAUGCUGCCCCUGCAUGCCAGGAAUAUUGCAGUGCUUAUGGGCAGUGCCCUGGCCUCUUUUCUUUCUUUUUUUCUGCCUGUAAAUCUGCCCUACUUCUCCACUUGGCAGGCACUGGGCACCUUGGGACCAAGCAGGCACAAGGGCCCCGGGGAGCAUCAGGGGCAGCUGUUGUGCUGCCAGUCUGGCCAAGAGCCUCUCACGUCCGAGCUGCCCCUGGCCCUGUAACCUGAUCUUCGCAGGUAUUUUGGGGACAUUUAUCAUAGUGACUCUCUGGGGCCUCUUGAGCUUGGGUAACAUUAGGAAAUCAGGUCUUCUUGGUGUAGUGAAUCCUCAGACCCAAGAUGAUGUCACCCACCACCCCUCUGCAGCAUACACUUUAGGGCACAGAUGUCCUGGGCUGUCACACCUGUCCUGGGCUCAGUGGUCUCCCAUGGAUAGGAGAAAAUGCACCAGUUCCUGAGGGUGCAGACUCACCCUAGGCGUGGCUCUUGGGUUCUGCCCAGUGGCCCAGGGGCCUGCUGCUGAGGUGGAUGUGGCUGGCUGGUGCAGCAGAGGGUUCUGCUGAAGGACUGUAGUGGCUUCUUUCUCGAGGUCAGCCAGCAUGACCAAGUGUGGGGUCAGUAGGUACAUGUGCAGUGCCCACCCUGUGGUCCUCGGGAACUGCCUGAAAAAGGCAAGAAGCACUGAGAGCAGAAGCUGACAGUAAAGCGAGGGUGACAGGCAGGGCUGGGAGCCAGGCUCCGAAGCGGGUGGUAGGCCCCCCAGUGCCCACUCAGAGGCCCUCCUCUCCAGCUCACACCUUCCACAGAUGCACAGCCCUGCGCCUAGUGUCCCCACCGAGCACCAGGCCCAGGCUUCUCUGCGGACGGGUCUGUCGGCCCCAGCUCCCCUCUACUCUCCCUGGGCCCUGUCACUUUCAGGACACAUCUGCAUGACUGUUUCUGUCUUGGCUGGCUUCCUGCCACUGCUAGCACAGUACAGGGGAUAGUGAGCCACAGGACCGGUGGAUAGUGAGCUGGCAGCUUUCACCUUGCAGGCCGGUGCAUGUCACUGAGAGGUUCAUGGGCCACAUGAGGGCGCAGUACUUGUUGCACUGCCAGACUGCGCUGUUCCUGCUGCCCCCUACCCCACCCAGAGUGGGGUGGCCAGCAUCCACAGCCCCAGCAAGCCUGCUGCUCCAGUCUCUGCUUCUGAGUCUCUCUGUAGGAUGCAGCAUUUCCCACGGUAGAACUGAAAUGUGGAGAUGGUGACUUUGAAGUUCAAGACCGGGCUGUAGCCUAACAGAGCACUAACCAAGAAAGAAAGCCGCCUGUUCCAGCCUGCAGAGUCUGUCUCUGACACUGGAGACAGCGCUCCGUUGUUGUAUCCUCUGCUACGUCCUGUGUGUUAAAAGCAGAAGGGGGUAAAAGUGGCAGAGCUUAACAACCUAAAGGUGUCUCUCAUCAGCCAGGUACCCAGGCCUGGUGAUGUUAGAUGCCCUCAUAGUGGUGGCUCAGUGCCCAAUGCAGCUCUGGCCAGUCCAGGCCAGCGAGGUUCAGGAAGAAUCCUGUGUGCUUUGGACACUAGAUGGAGAGGACGCGGACCUCUGCGUGUGUCCUGGGUCUAUCAGGACAUGACUAUCCCAGAUGAGCUCCUCUUUCCUGCCUGAGUGAAUGAUUUCCUUUCUGAUUCAUAGGCAAGCAUUGAAAACCACUGCUUUUGGCUCAGGAAAGAAUUUGCAAUUAACUUUGCCCUUGACAGUUUUAAAUCUUAGAGUGAAAAUUCAGCUCACAUUCACAUUAGGAAAAAGUCUACAAGUCUCACACACAGUGAGUAUCUUUGAGUUAGCUCACAGGAUAGUUUUUGAAGCUAAAGUUCUGUUAAUUUGGCUGCCAGAGCUCUGAUGAAAUGUUUGCUCUCUGGUCAAAUUUUGUAGUGUUUGGCAGCUUCCAGUCCUGUCUGGAUCAGUUAUUAGCAGAGCCAGGCCUCCAGGUUGGAGGGGCUGAGUGGCCCUUGUGGGGUACCUGCGUUAGUCCAGAGUACUUUAGCCUGCAGCCUGUGUAUGCGGGGACCUGACCACGCCUGCCCUUCCAAGGAGCUUGCUCUGCAACAACAGGGAUAAGGAUAAAUCAUAGUUUCUAGAAUUGCAAAUGAGAAAACUGACACCCAGCAGAAAGACCCCAGGAGGGGAGGCACAGGGAGGCAUGGGAGGGGCGGACGUGGGGGGACCCCAGAGCCUCGAGAAAAUCCGAGAGGUGGCUCUAAGGUUGAUCCCAAACUGCCAAGACAGCUCUGGAAGCCACAGCCACUGGGUGGGAGCUGCGACACGAAUCUUCACAUCUGGAGACUGAUCUCGUUUAUACAUAUUUUUAACUCAUGGCUGUUGUGAUUAUCUGGGGAUAGCUGAAGGACCUGUCUCACUGAGGAAGAGCCACAGAUAGCAGCAAAAGCAGACUGUUUUAGUGACCUCUUGGCUGGCAAGUGCCUGAAGGGGAGGUCAAAGGCUUCUUUAAAAUGUCAUUGAAAAAGAAAACAGAGCUCACCUUGGUGUGUUGCAACCCAAUGGCUCCUACAUCUGGCUUAGGCUGCCAUCGACCCCACAGGGAACUGAGGUAUUGUGCAAGGGACUUCUGAGCUGUAGCCACCUGUUUGGCAGGUGGCAGGUGGGGGGUGACCAGGCAAGAGCAGGCUCAGCUAAAGCCCUGGGGGGGGGUGUUCUAAGACACAGGGAAAGACCCCAGGAAACACCUGCCCCAGCAACACACACAGUCUUGCUGACACACAGAGAUGCACAAGGAGACUCACAGAGACACUGGUACAGAGGCACAGCCAGACUCCACACACGGAAACAAAAGUACCCGAGACACACACAUACACACAGAAAUGCACAGCUACACACAUCCACUCUUAGGGACAGCAGGGGCAUUCUUCACAGAAAGGGCGACCUGGCUAAGGCCCAUUAGACACCAGCUCUGUGGGCAGACAAGGGGGUCCUGCAGAAAGUGGGGGUGAUGGGGAGGGGUGUGUCGGGGGCUCCCAUUGGGGUGUCACCUCACUUUUGGGUAGCCAGGAGUGACCACUGGGUCACUGGGACAGAACCACCACUGGUUGCUGGAGUCCCCAUGACUCCUUGCAAGGCCAGGGGUGGAUGGAGGUAGACAGCAAGGCAGGAGGGACCUGGGCGUCACAGCCUCCAGCGAGAGAGCUGGUGUGAGGGCGGGGACACUGCCUCAGGCAGUCUGCAACUGAGAGACCCAGGCUGCCACACCAGGACCCACUAUGUGGACAGGAAGAGGAGCUCUUCCCUGCCCCGCAUCCCGGCCCAACAGCAUCUCAUCCAGGAGCAUCCUUGGAUGUGUUUUCAAAAGCAAGGGCACCUCCACAUGGGCUGUGCAGCACAUGAUUCUGCCAGCCAGGUGAGCAGUUUCGGGUUAUAUAGGCUUGGACGGGCUGAACGAAGCUGUCAAUCGAACAUCCAGCAGAACGCUCUGCAAACAUCUGAGCAUCAACUGACGCCCAAUAAUACCCACAGUAAUCACAGAUGACUUCCGGAGACAAAUAAUUCAGGCCUUUGAUGGGAAAGAGGCCUCCUGUUCAAGAGCCCUUGUGUUUAUGACUUGCAUCCCCAGGAAUCUCCCUCCACGGGCAACCUUCCAUUAGCAUGGAACAACACCUCACUUUUAUUUUAUGGGAAGUCUCUUCAGUUCAUUCUCGUAAUUAGAUCUAACAGAUAGAUGAAAGUCAAAGUUUGCUAACAUAGCCUGGAAAAGGCACAGCUCUGGGCCGAACGCAGGGCUCUGACUUAAAAGGCACACAUAGCAAAGAUGCGUUUUCUAACAGCCCCGGACCAAUGAAGGCUAAGUUCAGAUGGGUCCCGGGCUGUAAAUGUAAGUGACAGUCUCCCGUGCUUGGACAGAUGCAGGCAGAACUGGAGUGGGGAACACAGGUGCCCUCAUCACACUCUCCAGGUCAGAGGGGGCCGGCAGGGAUCCCUUGGCAUCUACAUUCUCGGACAGAACUGAGGGACCAUGCUGGGGACAAGUGGGCCCUCCUUCCUUGGAUACCUUCCCUGAAGGAGAGCUAGAUCUCUCUGCUGUCAGAAACAUUCACUAUUAUUCUUGAGCAAUUAAUUUGUUCAAGUCACAUGGCAUUAUAAGUCCUGUUUCCACUUUAGCUUCCCAAACCCAUGGCACUAAGCAGGCUUACUUCUAGUAGGGCUGUUAUCUGACAGCACAUCCCCAGUGCACCAAGGACGCAUCUGGAUCUCUGUUCUUUCCACAGUCCAACUCUCUGGUCGUCCAGAUGUCCUCAGCUAUUUUUACGUUCUGAUUGGUUUUGUUGAGUUGUAGGUAUUUCCAUAAGCUGCCUUGAAUCAUUUUAGGAAUAAAGUAGGAUAUAAAUAAGUAAAUCAAGAUAUUCUGAUUGCAAAUUAAAGAACUCAAACAGUUUAACCAUACUAUCCAAACUAACACAAUAAGUUGAAAACCAAGAAAACAGGUCAUCCAUUCAGAAGCACAAACAAUAAAACACGAAGAUAAGCAAAAGAUAAAUUUAUAGCCCUGCCUUGUAGUAUAAAUACAGUCGAUCCCUACCAGCCCACAGUGAAGCUCCCUUGUUUACCUUCCCCUGAAAAGAUGCCCAACCCAAAAAGCUCCUUGGUGCCUCACAGAAUAAAACCUGCUGGUCCUGUCUUCCCAACUUUCUUGAUCUCCCAACCCUGUACCAUGAAGACUGAGCUUUCCCAUCACAGUUAGGUCUGUCUGAGUUUUACUGAGCACUAGGUCUGUCAAAGGUAAGGUAUUUUAACAAGCAUCUUCAUGCAGUAUCUGCUAUUUGAUGUAUCAUUUAUGAUGCAUUUCAUGGAUGCCAGCUACAAGGGAGACAGAGCUGACACUACCUUCAAAUCCCUUCUAAAUACACAUAGCAACUAUAUCCAUAAACUGCUUCUCCUCAGAAUGCUAGGAAUCUCAACGUCUUCUGUCAACGAUCUGUUGAAUCUUUGGAAUUAUACACCAUGUAACAUAAAAGAAAUAACUUUACUUUCUAAAUCUUCAAGGACAUCAAUCUAUAAAAUGAAUGUUGUCUUAUUUACAAAUCAUAAUGGAUUCAGACAGAAUUGAUCCAUGGGAGGGAAAUAUGUUAGAUUUUUGUUAGUCUGUCAAAUACCUGAGGCAUUCAACUUAUAAAGAGAAAAUUUUUAUCUGGCCUCACAUUUUUGGAGUUUCAGUCCAAGUGGCUGGGCUGUUGGCUUGGGACUGUGAAGCAAGAGGGCAUGGAGGAACAGAAUCACCUCGCUCAUAGCCAGAGUGUGAAAGAGAUAGAGGAAGAGAUGGGUCCCACGAUCCCCUCUGAGACACCUCCUCAACCACUAAGAGACUGCUCCCUGGCCCCACCUCCCAAGAGUCCCACUUUAGGGACCCAGCUUUACUACCCAAAGCUUUGGGGACCCUGAAGGUCCUAUCACAGCAGGGAGGUGGUAACACAAUAUCAUAUUCAUAGGCCCACGUAUGUUAUGGUUUGAUAACUAGUGGUCAACUUAACGCCAGCUGGAUUACAUCAGCAUGAAUUGAGAGAAGAUGCUCCACCUGAGGAGGGCUGCCAGGAUAAAUAGGUGGAGAAGAAGAGAGGUGUCUAGAGGGAUUGAGGCGUUAUGGAGGCAUUGUUAGUUCUCUUACAAGUUGCUGUCUGAGCUGUUGGUUCUCCUGGAGAAGCUUUGGUCUUCACAUCGAGCAUUGCUUCCUGGCUCCGGAGGGGAAGACAUGAGCUGCCUGGUCUCCAGGGUGAAUUCGUCACACUGCUUCCUGGCAGGUACCCGACUGUGCUUGUCGCCGGAGGAGCUCGGGGCCUCCAUGUCGCUGAGGACAGCUGUGGUUCCUUUCAGGACAGCCUCGCUCUUUGUUGUGAGUGUGACUUCUCAGCUCCAGUGUAGAACCCUCAUCCCACUAGCACAGCUCCUUCAUCCUGCUGGCAUAGACUUUCUGGCUUCCACCGCUGACCCUUGGGUCUUCCUGGCACGAAUCCGUAAAAGAGACUGGCAUGAGUCCUUCUUGUGGGCUCUGGACUUCCAGUUGGACUCGUGGAGGCAUUGUUCUGAGCUCUGGGUUUUUAUCUGGACUCAUGUGGAACAUUGCCGUGGGGAUUAGGCUCUUGACUUAAAUAAUCUAUGUCGUUGGUGUUGUGGAUAGAUUUCCUGCAUUCUCCUGUGUUAACUUUCAGUGACCAUUAUAAAAAUAUUAUAAACUCCA